GCGGUUUUAGCUCAGUUGAGAGAGCGUCAGACUGAAGAUCAGGAGGUCCUAUGUUCGAUCCACAGAAAUCGCA
rnacentral:tRNA from 1 species